CACAAAAUUAAACUCAUGACUUACUUAAUUUUUCCAGGACCACGCCCUACUGGUAUUCAUCAUAUUUAUUUGUGGGUUCAUCUCCUAUUUUCGAGCUCAAAACCCAAAUCCUUUAGGCUGCAGCUCUGAAACUAGUUUCAUCCUGCAGCGUCCCGUUCCUCUUCGCUCACUCCGUUUCCUCUCUUCUGCUCCGGCUGCCACUCCACCUUCUGCAUGUCCCAUCACCUCUCUGUUAUCCGCAGGAAGAGCUGACUCUUAGUGAUCUCACUGUUUUCAGGGACAUAAGAAGAGAAAAGGUAUCAGGGAGAAGAACACGUAUGACAGAGUUCCUUGCUGUUUCAUUAAGAACCUUCACAAGAGUCCAAAGAUGGCAAAGUAAAGGCUGGCAGCGUAUCACAGCCUCUCCAGGACCUAACUCCACACACCCGAAAAAAUAGCUUAGUGGAGAUGAAAAGAAGAAGAGCUCUAGAAAUCAAGAAAGAGCUGACAGGAAAACUAGAAAUCACAGGGAAACUGGAGAAAUGAAAGACAACAAAAGGAAAGAAUGAAGCAGUCUGGAAUGCUGACCCCAGCUCCCAGGGAGACCUGACUGAGUCCAUAAGCACAAGGUAAGCCCAAAGAGGGCUGGCAGCCCCGG
rnacentral:lncRNA from 1 species